rnacentral:rRNA from 1 species
UACGUAGGGUGCAAGCGUUGUCCGGAAUUAUUGGGCGUAAAGCGCUUGUAGGCGGUUUGUCGCGUCUGCUGUGAAAUUUCGGGGCUCAACCCCGAACUUGCAGUGGGUACGGGCAGACUAGAGUGUGGUAGGGGAGACUGGAAUUCCUGGUGUAGCGGUGAAAUGCGCAGAUAUCAGGAGGAACACCGAUGGCGAAGGCAGGUCUCUGGGCCGAUACUGACGCUGAGGAGCGAAAGCGUGGGGAGCGAACAGG